rnacentral:rRNA from 1 species
UGGGGAAUAUUGCACAAUGGAGGGAACUCUGAUGCAGCGACGCCGCGUGAACGAAGAAGGCUUUCGAGUCGUAAAGUUCUUUUAUAUGGGAAGAUAAUGACGGUACCAUAAGAAAAAGCCCCGGCUAACUACGUGCCAGCAGCCGCGGUAAUACGUAGGGGGCUAGCGUUGUCCGGAAUCACUGGGCGUAAAGGGUUCGCAGGCGGAAAUGCAAGUCAGGUGUAAAAGGCAGUAGCUUAACUACUGUAAGCAUUUGAAACUGCAUAUCUUGAGAAGAGUAGAGGUAAGUGGAAUUUUUAGUGUAGCGGUCAAAUGCGUAGAUAUUAAAAAGAAUACCGGUGGCGAAGGCGACUUACUGGGCUCAUUCUGACGCUGAGGAACGAAAGCGUGGGUAGCAAACAGG